AUGCCUACUUGGUGCUGGUGUCAUUCCCAAAGGGGAGGCCAUCGCUGGUGCACAGGGAGGCUGGGUGGACAGAAUCUUCCUUUUUCUGCCACCCCCCAAAGCCAUCUAGUGAGAGGUGCUGCCAGCUUUGAAGGUUCCCUGCUCUCCCUGGUCCUCUGGUUCUCUUCAGACUCAUCUCGAGAGGAUGGACUGUCCCAGUGGGUCUCCGGUAAGCGCUGCAGUGGCUUCCUUAGCUGCCCUCCCUGGAUACUGGUGCACAUAAGGAUGAGAGGAUGGGUGGAUGCAAGGACAAAGGGACAGGUUUUCCCCAAGCCCUCCUUCCCGGUGAGAUCCUCUCUAAUCACUACAGCAGAACUGCCGCCCUUCCCCCAGCCAAGCAUCCUUCCCCCUCCUGCCCCCACCUCUGCUCUCUUUCCCCCAUAG
rnacentral:lncRNA from 1 species